AGCGGCGGACGGGUGAGUAAUGCUUAGGAAUCUGCCUAUUAGUGGGGGACAACAUUCCGAAAGGAAUGCUAAUACCGCAUACGUCCUACGGGAGAAAGCAGGGGAUCUUCGGACCUUGCGCUAAUAGAUGAGCCUAAGUCGGAUUAGCUAGUUGGUGGGGUAAAGGCCUACCAAGGCGACGAUCUGUAGCGGGUCUGAGAGGAUGAUCCGCCACACUGGGACUGAGACACGGCCCAGACUCCUACGGGAGGCAGCAGUGGGGAAUAUUGGACAAUGGGCGGAAGCCUGAUCCAGCCAUGCCGCGUGUGUGAAGAAGGCCUUUUGGUUGUAAAGCACUUUAAGCGAGGAGGAGGCUACCUAGAUUAAUACUCUGGGAUAGUGGACGUUACUCGCAGAAUAAGCACCGGCUAACUCUGUGCCAGCAGCCGCGGUAAUACAGAGGGUGCGAGCGUUAAUCGGAUUUACUGGGCGUAAAGCGUGCGUAGGCGGCUGAUUAAGUCGGAUGUGAAAUCCCUGAGCUUAACUUAGGAAUUGCAUCCGAUACUGGUCAGCUAGAGUAUGGGAGAGGAUGGUAGAAUUCCAGGUGUAGCGGUGAAAUGCGUAGAGAUCUGGAGGAAUACCGAUGGCGAAGGCAGCCAUCUGGCCUAAUACUGACGCUGAGGUACGAAAGCAUGGGGAGCAAACAGGAUUAGAUACCCUGGUAGUCCAUGCCGUAAACGAUGUCUACUAGC
rnacentral:rRNA from 1 species